rnacentral:rRNA from 1 species
UACGGGGGGGGUAAGCGUUGUUCGGAAUUACUGGGCGUAAAGGGCGCGUAGGCGGCAAUUCAAGUCAUCUGUGAGAUCUCCGGGCUUAACUCGGAAUGGUCAGGUGAUACUGCUUUGCUAGAGUGCAGAAGGGGCAAUCGGAAUUCUUGGUGUAGCGGUGAAAUGCGUAGAUAUCAAGAGGAACACCUGAGGUGAAGACGGGUUGCUGGGCUGACACUGACGCUGAGGCACGAAGGCCAGGGGAGCAAACGGG